rnacentral:rRNA from 1 species
AUUGAACGCUGGCGGCAGGCUUAACACAUGCAAGUCGAGCGGGGUGAUGGUGCUUGCACUAUCACUUAGCGGCGGACGGGUGAGUAAUGCUUAGGAAUCUGCCUAUUAGUGGGGGACAACAUCUCGAAAGGGAUGCUAAUACCGCAUACGUCCUACGGGAGAAAGCAAGGGAUCACCUGUGACCUUGCGCUAAUAGAUGAGCCUAAGUCGGAUUAGCUAGUUGGUGGGGUAAAGGCCUACCAAGGCGACGAUCUGUAGCGGGUCUGAGAGGAUGAUCCGCCACACUGGGACUGAGACACGGCCCAGACUCCUACGGGAGGCAGCAGUGGGGAAUAUUGGACAAUGGGGGAACCCUGAUCCAGCCAUGCCGCGUGUGUGAAGAAGGCCUUAUGGUUGUAAAGCACUUUAAGCGAGGAGGAGGCUCUUUUGGUUAAUACCCAAGAUGAGUGGACGUUACUCGCAGAAUAAGCACCGGCUAACUCUGUGCCAGCAGCCGCGGUAA